GACGAACGCUGGCGGCGUGCUUAACACAUGCAAGUCGAACGGAAAGGCCCUGCUUUUGUGGGGUGCUCGAGUGGCGAACGGGUGAGUAACACGUGAGUAACCUGCCCUUGACUUUGGGAUAACUUCAGGAAACUGGGGCUAAUACCGGAUAGGAGCUCCUGCUGCAUGGGGGGGGUUGGAAAGUUUCGGCGGUUGGGGAUGGACUCGCGGCUUAUCAGCUUGUUGGUGGGGUAGUGGCUUACCAAGGCUUUGACGGGUAGCCGGCCUGAGAGGGUGACCGGCCACAUUGGGACUAAGAUACGGCGCAGACUCCUACGUGAGGCAGCAGGGGGGAAUAUUGCAGAAUGGGCGGAAGCCUGAUGCAGCAACGCCGCGUGCGGGAUGACGGGCUUCGGGUGGUAAACCGCUUUCGCCUGUGACGAAGCGUGAGUGACGGUAAUGGGUAAAGAAGCACCGGCUAACUACGUG
rnacentral:rRNA from 1 species